UUUUUUUUCUAUUCAAUUUCAUUGUAUGAAUAUGUAAGAAUAUAUUAUUUACCUCUUCUUUUUGGUCACCCUUCGAUUUUUGGUUCUCUGCUUAUAUUUGUCUCCUUCUUUCUAUGGAACUCCACUUUUGGUGGUUGCCUUUCCUCUACUACUCCUUCCCGUCAGAUUCAAUUCUAAUUUUUGGCCUCUUGCUUGGUUUAUUUAGUAUUUCUGCAUAUGAUGCUCUUCUGGCCGAUUUGUAUACCUUUUAGAUGUUCAGCCUUCAAAGACAAAAGAAAAGUGAAGUGACCAGUGAGGACCCAUUAAUAGAAUAGUGCACAUGUUUGCUAGGCAUUUCUUUUGAAUGAGGUGUCUUAAAAUUGUCAAUAAAGUUGUUUUGGAUGCACUGCUUCUAUGCUUUCUUUUCUUGACAGGAGUUUAAGUCAUUUUUUGCCCUUACUUUCUACACAUAGAGGGGUAUUUAUUGAUCUCACAGAAUAGGAUAUGUAGGACCAAGAAAUGCAUUAAAGAGAAAUGUACAACAAUUGUUUUGUGUCAUUUAUCAUAAUCUCUUGACAAGCAGAUCAUAAGAAUAGAAACUUUGGAUAGUUAUUCUCUACUUCCUCCUCCUCUAUGAUUGAGGGUAUUGAGAGUGCAAACUGCCUUCACCAUAGAAAUAACAGCAGAUGCAAACCUAAGGAGCAAAUGCAAUACUGUGGAUCAUACAGAGGAAGUUAAAGUCUUGGGUUUCAAGAAGUUAAAGGUGUGAUGACGGAAAUCAUUGAGAAGACAGACUAUGCUAACCUCUUUUUGGAUCAUACGCUUUCAAAAGACUUUAUUUCUUAAUUUGAAACUGGAAAGAAUCCAAAAAACUGUAUGUGGCUGAUUGAUGUGAGUUAUAUCCUUACAAGUUCUUGAUCAUUUGGUAUGUAAAGGCUUGUCCAUAUUGGAUCACCCCCUUUUCGUUUGGAUUGUUUCUUACUUAUUUUCACAUGCGUGUUUGAAUUUAUAUACCCUGGUACAUACCUAUGAGAAGCACUGACGGAAAUUUAGCUAUAAAUUAUGUCAAGUAAAAGGUAGGCACCCAAUAAGGGGCAUUGACUGCUACUUUAAAGCCAAGGUGCAGCCGCCACAAGAAGAAAAUGAAAAAAAAAAAAAUGCAAGCCAAAGGAAGAGGAGAUGGAGGAGAAAAUACAAAGAAAAAGUUACUGUAAAUGGAUAUCACUUUCAACUUUCAUGGUAAAUGUAAUGCGUCGUUAGUUCUUUUCAGUUUCUCAUUGUGCCUUGCCCUUAGCAUAAAAUGCAUGCUUAAUUAUAAAUGUUGUGAAUUUUUAAAAAGUUGAUGCGAUGAAGAGUCUAAUUAGGCUACCUUGUGCGGUAGAAUUUUUUUGGCAUGCAUAUGAUACUGUAGUUCUACUAUUAAAAGGCAACUUAUUGAAAUUACUUGCAUUGAUCUAAUUAAGAUUGACCACUAAGUUAGGUCUGUGGGAAAAAUUGCGGAGAUGAAUAUAUAAUUAUCAGGUCUGUUUUUUAAUUCUAAGCCUGUAAUCACUCAAUCUUUGUGAACUAUAAUUUAUCAAGGUUUGAUUCAUUUUAAGACCAUUUGUUCUUCCAUACAUUUCUGUCUAAAUAUACACAGUAAAUGGACUAUGCAAACUCAUUUGAAGGCCAUCAACAAGUAAAACUUGAAGCUCUUGGAAAAAAUCCUCUUAUGCACAUGAAAAUACUAGGGAGGAAGAAAGAUUUUUCUAGGCUAUAAAAAGGCAGUAACUUUUAGGUAAAGUGACCGAAUGGUGAUUCAUGCAUAAAUAAGACUUCCCUACAUGAAUGUGAAACUGGAGCAAAAGCAAACCUCAAGCAGGAUCCAAAGAUUCCUAAGGAACGAAAUUAUAUUCACCGAAUGAAGGAUGUACCAACAAUUGAGAUUAUCCAUUGGAUGUUGUAGAGGAAGGAUGGUGCUUAACUUGGAGCCAGCGAACA